ensembl:lncRNA
GGGGGUUCUGGAUACAGCCUAGUGACUGACUGGAUGGGGGUUCUGGAUACAGACUAGUGACUGACUGAAGGGGGAGUUCUGGAUACAGACUAGUGACUGACUGAAGGAGGGGUUCUGGAUACAGCCUAGUGACUGACUGAAGGAGGGGUUCUGGAUACAGACUAGUGACUGACUGAAGGAGGGGUUCUGGAUACAGACUAGUGACUGACUGAAGGGGGGUUCUGGAUACAGACUAGUGACUGACUGAAUGGGGGUUCUGGAUACAGACUAGUGACUGACUGAAGGGGGGGGGUUUCUGGAUACAGACUAGUGACUGACUAAAUGGGGGUUCUGGAUACAGACUAGUGACUGACUGAAGGGGGGUUGGAUACAGACUAGUGACUGACUGAAGGAGGAGGGGUGUUCUGGAUACAGACUAGUGACUGACUGAAGGAGGAGG